UGUACAGUAUGGUUUGUCGCUGCCAAGCUAUAUGCCACCUGAGUUUCAGACUACUCUUAACUUUGGAUCACCUUCCUGAUACUUGGGUGUGCUUAUCCAGGAUAUCUCGAAAUUAUCUUUCUCAGUGAAUAAUCUUCAAGUUUCUGGUAACACAAGAUCUUCUAUCACUUAUUUUAUCAUUUAGUAUCCUCAACGCUGUUCCAAUGUUAGUCAGAGAAAACGUUAGACGUAAACUUCAGAAAUCAUUAUCUCGUGAAAAUAAAGUAAUGUUUUAUUUUCUGUUUUGCAAUUUGGAUUGGUUUGCUAUAUACUUCUCUAUGUAUAUUUGUAGAGGAGUCCAACUUAUAGUUGUAUUUAUUUUUAACUUCAGCACAGAACCUGAUGCAAAACUGUAUACAUGUUCUGAAUAUUUGUUGUCUGUCUCUUAUUCCAGUCUUCUGCGUCAGCUUUCCUUCUUGAGUUAUGCUCAUGCUAUGAUUUCUCAACUACAGCUUAGUUGCAGGCUGAAGGGGGCAGCGCGGAAGGCGGAAACAUGUGUUUAAAGACUGAUGUAGUCACUUCCUCCGAUGACCUGUAUUGAUAUGUAGCUGCCGUGGUAGCACAGUGACAUGAUAUGAGCACAAGUUACUCCAAAGGUGCGACCUCCAAGAGGAGAGUACUUAGUUGUAGUGGCACAAUGUGAUCUGUUUUCUUUUGCACAUAAAUGUCUGAUAUUUUUAUAAUAUAGGGUGUGCCAAAGAUGUACAUGCAUUUUUGGAUUCAAGCACAUUAUGAGUUUAUAUAAGCUAAGAUUACAUGUA